UAUUUUUUUCAAAGGUGAUGAGCUUCAAGUUUUUAGUUAGAAGGUAAAUCAGUUCCCUUUCCCACUUCUCUCAGAGUUGCAAAAUGCUAGAAAAUCUGACCUUGCUCCAUAUUACCCUUUUCCUCUGAAUUAUCUGGCUCUCCCAGAAGCCCUGCUGAAGUGAGCUCCAUGAAGGCCAACCCCUGUGCUCGAGGGAACCCUAGUGACUAUGCUGCAGAUCCUGAUGCAAGAUCAGCCCAAAGGUGGAGGUUGUUUUAAGAAAUAAGUCACAGCUUUGGAAAAAAAAAGAAAAGAAACUAUCUUCAGUUUAUGAAGGAAAAGAGAAAACAGAUCAGAGGAGUUUUAUUUAUGUAUAUAUUCAUAAAUGAUUCACUGGACUUUUGGCUGACAGAUAGGAUAGUUUCAUAAUAACUUUGUUUAUUAUGUUCCUAGCAGUGAGCUCAAACGUUUGAAUAGCUCUGUAGGAAAGACUUGUGAAGUUGACUAACAAUUAUACCUAUGACCCCUC